rnacentral:rRNA from 1 species
UACGGGAGUGGCAAGCGUUAUCCGGAAUUAUUGGGCGUAAAGCGUCCGCAGGCGGUCUUGAAAGUCUGUUGUUAAAGCGUGGAGCUCAACUCCAUUUCAGCAAUGGAAACUAGAAGACUAGAGUGUGGUAGGGGCAGAGGGAAUUCCCGGUGUAGCGGUGAAAUGCGUAGAUAUCGGGAAGAACACCAGUGGCGAAGGCGCUCUGCUGGGCCAUAACUGACGCUCAUGGACGAAAGCCGGGGGAGCGAAAGGGAUUAGAUACCCCUGUAGUCCUGGCCGUAAACGAUGAACACUAGGUGUCGGGGGAAUCGACCCCCUCGGUGUCGUAGCCAACGCGUUAAGUGUUCCGCCUGGGGAGUACGCACGCAAGUGUGAAACUCAAAGGAAUUGACGGGGGCCCGCACAAGCGGUGGAGUAUGUGGUUUAAUUCGAUGCAACGCGAAGAACCUUACCAGGGUUUGACAUCCUGCGAAUCCCUUGGAAACUUGGGAGUGCCUUCGGGAGCGCAGUGACAGGUGGUGCAUGGCUGUCGUCAGCUCGUGUCGUGAGAUGUUGGGUUAAGUCCCGCAACGAGCGCAACCCACGUCUUUAGUUGCCAGCAUUAAGUUGGGCACUCUAGAGAGACUGCCGGUGAUAAACCGGAGGAAGGUGUGGAUGACGUCAAGUCAUCAUGCCCCUUACAUCCUGGGCUACACACGUACUACAAUGCUACGGACAAAGGGCAGCAAACUCGCGAGAGCUAGCAAAUCCCAUAAACCGUGGCUCAGUUCAGAUCGUAGGCUGCAACUCGCCUACGUGAAGGAGGAAUCGCUAGUAAUCGCAGGUCAGCAUACUGCGGUGAAUACGUUCCCGGGCCU